rnacentral:rRNA from 1 species
UACGGGGGGAGCAAGCGUUGUUCGGAUUUACUGGGCGUAAAGGGCGCGUAGGCGGCCUCCGCAAGUCAAUUGUGAAAUCUCCGGGCUUAACUCGGAACGGUCAGCUGAUACUGCAGUGCUAGAGUGUGGAAGGGGCAAUCGGAAUUCUUGGUGUAGCGGUGAAAUGCGUAGAUAUCAAGAGGAACACCUGAGGUGAAGACGGGUUGCUGGGCCAACACUGACGCUGAUGCGCGAAAGCCGGGGGAGCAAACGGG